rnacentral:rRNA from 1 species
GUGGGGAAUUUUGGACAAUGGGCGCAAGCCUGAUCCAGCAAUGCCGCGUGCAGGAAGAAGGCCUUCGGGUUGUAAACUGCUUUUGUACGGAACGAAAAGGCUCUGGUUAAUACCUGGGGCUCAUGACGGUACCGUAAGAAUAAGCACCGGCUAACUACGUGCCAGCAGCCGCGGUAAUACGUAGGGUGCAAGCGUUAAUCGGAAUUACUGGGCGUAAAGCGUGCGCAGGCGGUGCUGUAAGACAGGCGUGAAAUCCCCGGGCCCAACCUGGGAAUUGCGCUUGUGACUGCAGUGCUGGAGUGCGGCAGAGGGGGAUGGAAUUCCGCGUGUAGCAGUGAAAUGCGUAGAUAUGCGGAGGAACACCGAUGGCGAAGGCAAUCCCCUGGGCCUGCACUGACGCUCAUGCACGAAAGCGUGGGGAGCAAACAGGAUUAGAAACCCGGGUAGUCC